CCGUCGAUAGCUCAGUUGGCAGAGCGGUGGACUGUAGAUCCAUAGGUCGCUGGUUCGACUCCGGCUCGACGAA
rnacentral:tRNA from 1 species